UACGGAGGGUGCGAACGUUAAUCGGAAUCACUGGGCGUAAAGCGCGCGUAGGCGGUCUGUUAAGUGGGAUGUGAAAUCCCCGGGCUUAACCUGGGAAUUGCAUUUCAAACUGGCCGACUAGAGUACGGUAGAGGGAGGUAGAAUUUCCUGUGCAGCGGUGAAAUGCGUAGAUAUAGGAAGGAAUACCAGUGGCGAAGGCGGCCUCCUGGAUCGAUACUGACGCUGAGGCGCGAAAGCGUGGGGAGCAAACAGG
rnacentral:rRNA from 1 species